rfam:Sarcophilus harrisii ctg7180002391466, whole genome shotgun sequence.
AUUAAGAUGGCAGAGCCGGUAAUUGCAUAAAGCUUAAGCCUUUACUCCCAGAGGUUCAAACCCUCUUCUUAAUA